AAGUCGUAACAAGGUUUCCGUAGGUGAACCUGCGGAAGGAUCAUUAACACGUAUCCAAACGUUAAACCCCCCUGUGAACCUUCAGUACGUCCGUUAGAAAAAGCAGCAAUCCCUGGUAAAUCAUCGCCGAACAGUUUUCGAUUCAGGGACGUCACUAACAUGUGUAAGGAUGACGCAGUCACGAUCGUUGGAGGCCCGCACGGCCGACGACCGGGUCACUGGGUGCAAGCCCCCUUAUCACACCCCUGCUCUAUCUAUGGUGAUCCUGCGGGAAGUCCUGCGGUCGAACGCCGAAACCGAACAACUGUUAACAAUGGAUAUCUUGGUUCUC
rnacentral:misc_RNA from 1 species